AAUAAUAAUAAUAAUAAUAAUAAUAAUAAUAAUAAGAAAAAAAAAUAAUACGAAGACGAUCGGAUUGUCGCGGAGCAAUCACUCGGACGUGACUGAGUGAUUUUUAGUUUUUAGUAAGAAGCUGAGACACUCGUAAUCUACCUAUGAACCUAUUUUUUCUCGACGUAACAUUUUAAGAAGAUUCCUUCCCAUUGUUCGACAAUCGGCCAAUUCAUUGGAGGCAGGUUCGAGUAAUAGCUCGUGUUGUCGUCUCGAUACGAUCAAAAUCGCAAUUGAUUAAAGAGGAACAGUUAACGAUCGUUCAAAAGCAAUUACUCGAAUUUCAUUCUUCGAAUUAUUACACGUUUCGCGCGGAAUUAAAUUGCAUUUGUCUCUGUCGAUUGUAAAGAGAGAGAGAAAAAAAAAAAAAAAAUGACUUCCUCUAAAUUGAAGAACAAAUACGCAGGAACCUUCUUCGUCGUAUCUCGCGCGAUUUUUUCACAGGUAAACUCGCGUCGGAAAUUGCGUGCUUUUCUUCGUUUUCUUUUUUUUUUUUUUUUUUU